UCCUACGGGAGGCAGCAGUGGGGAAUAUUGCACAAUGGGCGAAAGCCUGAUGCAGCGACGCCGCGUGAGGGAUGAAGGCCUUCGGGUCGUAAACCUCUUUCGGCAGGGACGAAGCGAUCAGUGACGGUACCUGCAGAAGAAGCCCCGGCUAACUACGUGCCAGCAGCCGCGGUAAGACGUAGGGGGCGAGCGUUGUCCGGAUUUAUUGGGCGUAAAGCGUGCGUAGGCGGCUGCGCAAGUCGGUUGUGAAACCCCGGGGCUCAACCCCGGAACUGCAUCCGAUACUGCGUGGCUAGAGGUAGGUAGGGGAGAUCGGAAUUCCUGGUGUAGCGGUGAAAUGCGCAGAUAUCAGGAGGAACACCGGUGGCGAAGGCGGAUCUCUGGGCCUUACCUGACGCUCAGGCACGAAAGCUAGGGGAGCGAACAGGAUUAGAUACCCUGGUAGUCCUAGCCGUAAACGUUGGGUGCUAGGUGUGGGCGGAUAUCGACCCCGUCCGUGCCGAAGCUAACGCAUUAAGCACCCCGCCUGGGGAGUACGGCCGCAAGGCUAAAACUCAAAGGAAUUGACGGGGGCCCGCACAAGCGGCGGAGCAUGUGGCUUAAUUCGAAGCAACGCGAAGAACCUUACCUGGGCUUGACAUGCGGGGUGAAACCGUAGAAAUACGGCGCUCCUCGGAGCCCGCACAGGUGGUGCGUGGCUGUCGUCAGCUCGUGCCGUGAGGUGUUGCCUUAAGUGGCGCAACGAGCGCAACCCCUGUCCUUAGUUGCCAGCGGGUAAAGCCGGGAACUCUAGGGAGACUGCCGGUGCCAAACCGGAGGAAGGUGGGGAUGACGUCAAGUCAUCAUGCCCCUUAUGUCCAGGGCUGCACACAUGCUACAAUGCGCGAUACAGAGGGUUGCGAUCCCGUAAGGGGGAGCGAAUCCCAAAAAGUCGCGCUCAGUUCGGAUCGGGGUCUGCAACUCGACCCCGUGAAGUCGGAGUCGCUAGUAAUCGCAGAUCAG
rnacentral:rRNA from 1 species